UAAGGAAUAUUGGACAAUGGACGGAAGUCUGAUCCAGCCAUGCCGCGUGAAGGAAGAAGGCGCUCAGCGUUGUAAACUUCUUUUGAAUGGGAACAAACCACCUGGUUUACCGGGUGCUGAGGGUACCAUUAGAAUAAGCACCGGCUAACUCCGUGCCAGCAGCCGCGGUAAUACGGAGGGUGCAAGCGUUAUCCGGAAUCACUGGGUUUAAAGGGUGCGUAGGCGGUGGCGUAAGUCAGUUGUGAAAUUCCCCGGCUUAACCGGGGGCGUGCGAUUGAUACUGUGUCACUUGAAUAAGGUUGAGGUAGGCGGAAUGUGGCAUGUAGCGGUGAAAUGCAUAGAUAUGCCAUAGAACACCGAUUGCGAAGGCAGCUUGCUGGACCUUAAUUGACGCUGAGGCACGAAAGCGUGGGGAGCAAACAGG
rnacentral:rRNA from 1 species